rnacentral:rRNA from 1 species
AUUGAACGCUGGCGGCAGGCCUAACACAUGCAAGUCGAACGGUAACAGGAAGAAGCUUGCUUCUUUGCUGACGAGUGGCGGACGGGUGAGUAAUGUCUGGGAAACUGCCUGAUGGAGGGGGAUAACUACUGGAAACGGUAGCUAAUACCGCAUAACGUCGCAAGACCAAAGAGGGGGACCUUCGGGCCUCUUGCCAUCGGAUGUGCCCAGAUGGGAUUAGCUAGUAGGUGGGGUAACGGCUCACCUAGGCGACGAUCCCUAGCUGGUCUGAGAGGAUGACCAGCCACACUGGAACUGAGACACGGUCCAGACUCCUACGGGAGGAAGCAGUGGGGAAUAUUGCACAAUGGGCGCAAGCCUGAUGCAGCCAUGCCGCGUGUAUGAAGAAGGCCUUCGGGUUGUAAAGUACUUUCAGCGGGGAGGAAGGGAGUAAAGUUAAUACCUGUGCUCAUUGACGUUACCCGCAGAAGAAGCACCGGCUAACUCCGUG